rnacentral:rRNA from 1 species
CCUACGGGGGGCUGCAGUGGGGAAUAUUGGACAAUGGGGGCAACCCUGAUCCAGCCAUGCCGCGUGUGUGAAGAAGGCCCUCGGGUUGUAAAGCACUUUCAGUGAGGAAGAACGCCUGGUGGUUAAUACCCAUCAGGAAAGACAUCACUCACAGAAGAAGCACCGGCUAACUCCGUGCCAGCAGCCGCGGUAAUACGGAGGGUGCGAGCGUUAAUCGGAAUUACUGGGCGUAAAGCGCGCGUAGGUGGCUUGAUAAGCCGGUUGUGAAAGCCCCGGGCUCAACCUGGGAACGGCAUCCGGAGCUGUCAAGCUAGAGUGCAGGAGAGGAAGGUAGAAUUCCCGGGGUAGCGGUGAAAUGCGUAGAGAUCGGGAGGAAUACCAGUGGCGAAGGCGGCCUUCUGGACUGACACUGACACUGAGGUGCGAAAGCGUGGGUAGCAAACAGGAUUAGAUACCCUAGUAGUC